rnacentral:rRNA from 1 species
AUAGUGGUGGCUUAGCGCCGUGGACCCACCCGGUCUCAUUCCGAACCCGGAAGUUAAACGCGGUUGCGCCGAUGAUACUUGACGCAAAUUGGGGAAAGUAGGUAGCUGCCACGAU